CCCUAUAUAGUGCACUACUUUUAACCAGAGCCCUAUGGGGGCUUCUGCCCUUCUGGUCUAAAGUAGUGCACUACACUAUAUAUCAGUGCACCAUAAGAUGUGAGACACACUAUAUGACCUAUACAGUAUGUCUUCCUAUGGGCCCUGGUCAGAAAUAGUGCACUAUAUAGGGAAUAGGGUGUAUAGGUAGUGCACUAUAUAUGGAAUAGGGUGUAUACGUAGUGCACUAUAUAGGGAAUAGGGUGUAUAUGUAGUGCACUAUAUAUGGAAUAGGGUCUAUAGGUAGUGCACUAUAUAUGGAAUAGGGUGUAUAGGUAGUGCACUAUAUAUGAAAUAGGGUGUAUAGGUAGUGCACUAUAUAGAUAAUAGGGUGUAUAGGUAGUGCACUAAAUAUGGAAUAGGGUGUAUAGGUAGUGCACUAUAUAGGGAAUAGGGUGUUUCGGUAGUGCACUAUAUUUGGAAUAGGGUGUAUACGUAGUGCACUAUAUAUGGAAUAGGGUGUAUACGUAGUGCACUAUAUAUGGAAUAGGGUGUAUACGUAGUGCACCAUAUAGGGAAUAGGGUGUAUAGGUAGUGCACUAUAUCGGGUCUAUAGGUAGUGCACUAUAUAGGGAAUAGGGUGUAUAGGUAGUGCACUAUAUAUGGAAUAGGGUGUAUAGGUAGUGCACUAUAUAGGGUCUAUAGGUAGUGCACUAUAUAGGGUCUAUAGGUAGUGCACGAUAUAUGGAAUAGGGUGUUUAGGUAGUGCACUAUAUAGGGAAUAGGGUGUUUAGGUAGUGCACUUCUAUAGACCAGAGCCCUAUGGCACCCUAUAUAGUGCACUACUUUAGACCAGAGCCCUAUGGCACCCUAUUCCCUAUAUAGUGCACUACUUUUAACCAGAGCCCUAUGGGGGCUUCUGCCCUUCUGGUCUAAAGUAGUGCACUGCACUAUAUAUCAGUGCACUAUAAGAUGUGAGACACACUAUAUGACCUAUACAGUAUGUCUUCCUAUGGGCCCUGGUCAAAAAUAGUGCACUAUAUAGGGAAUAGGGUGUAUAGGUAGUGCACUAUAUAUGGAAUAGGGUGUAUAGGUAGUGCACUUCUAUAGACCAGAGCCCUAUGGCACCCUAUAUAGUGCACUACUUUAGACCAGAGCCCCUAUGGCACCCUAUUCCCUAUAUAGUGCACUACUUUUAACCAGAGCCCUAUGGGGGCUUCUGCCCUUCUGGUCUAAAGUAGUGCACUACACUAUAUAUCAGUGCACUAUAAGAUGUGAGACACACUAUAUGACCUAUACAGUAUGUCUUCCUAUGGGCCCUGGUCAAAAAUAGUGCACUAAAUAGGGAAUAGGGUGUAUAGGUAGUGCACUAUAUAGGGUCUAUAGGUAGUGCACUAUAUAUGGAAUAGGGUGUUUAGGUAGUGCACUAUAUAGGGUGUAUAGGUAGUGCACUAUACAGGGUCUAUAGGUAGUGCACUAUAUAGGGAAUAGGGUGUAUAGGUAGUGCACUAUAUAGGGAAUAGGGUGUUUAGGUAGUGCACUAUAUAGGGAAUAGGGUGUUUAGGUAGUGCACUAUAUAUGGAAUAGGGUGUAUAGGUAGUGCACUAUAUAUGGAAUAGGGUGUAUAGGUAGUAGUGCACUAUAUAGGGUGUAUAGGUAGUGCACUAUAUAGGGAAUAGGGUGUAUAGGUUGUGCACUAUAUAUGGAAUAGGGUGUAUAGGUAGUGCACUAUAUAGGGUCUAUAGGUAGUGCACUAUAUAGGGAAUAGGGUGUAUAGGUAGCGCACUAUAUAUGGAAUAGGGUGUAUAGGUAGUGCACUAUAUAUGGAAUAGGGUGUAUAGGUAGUGCACUAUAUAGGGUGUAUAGGUAGUGCACUAUAUAGGGAAUAGGGUGUAUAGGUAGUGCACUAUAUAUGGAUUAGGGUGUAUAGGUAGUGCACUAUAUAGGGUGUAUAGGUAGUGCAGAGCAGCGAGGGAGGAGGCUGACUGUAUGUUCGACAGGUUAAUUGUUACUGUGAUGUGUUAUUGAUGUGUGAAUCCUAGGGCUCCUCUCAAAAUGAUACAACUAAAUAAUACACUACU